GCUGAAUCCCCUCACGGUACAUAUUUUCCUGUUUAGAGGCAAAGUCAACCUCUAACAGAAAAUAGAUAAAUAUUUCUUAUUUCCCUUCUGAUUCAAGCUGAGCAUAAUUACAAUAAAAAUAAAACUUGGACCACAGUUUGUACAUUCAUAUACUAAUGUAAAUUAUGUUAAUAUAGCACCAAAAAUAGAAUCCUCUUCCAAAGAGCUCUUUUUUACUUUCUUGCUUUAAGUACAUUUCAGAGCCUGUACUUUUUUUACUUUUAACUUGAGUAAAGAAGUUGAAUCAGUUCAUCAACUUUUUCUGGAGUAUUUUUAACAGAAGUAUUUGUACCUCUACUUAAGUACAGAAUCUUUCUACUUUUUCCAACUUGGAUUGUCAUCAAAGCAGGGGUCAGUCAGGAGGCACACCAACAUCUGACUUGUGCACCAUGAAAACAGACAGACCUGUGGAGGUUCCUCAUUAUACCUCAACAAAAAGAGAACUGAAAAAGAACUAUGAGGAUGUCUACUGCAAUGACAUUUUCACCAGUGAUCAUGUAUAUGGCAACAUAGGGACUGACUGCGACGAGACCAAAUAUGCCAAUGUCUAAGAUCUAUGGAAAACCAGUCCAUGUUUAUUUGCUCUGAGUCAAAGAUAUAUUUAGCUACUUCUUCAUCACAAAGGGUCACCACAGGUUGUAGCUUGGCACAUUUGAUUUGGUGGAUUUUUAUGCCAGAUGCCCUUCCUGAUGCAAACCUAAAGGGCAUUUGUACUUCCAG
ensembl:lncRNA